UACGAAGGGGGCUAGCGUUGCUCGGAAUCACUGGGCGUAAAGGGCGCGUAGGCGGCGUUUUAAGUCGGGGGUGAAAGCCUGUGGCUCAACCACAGAAUGGCCUUCGAUACUGGGACGCUUGAGUAUGGUAGAGGUUGGUGGAACUGCGAGUGUAGAGGUGAAAUUCGUAGAUAUUCGCAAGAACACCGGUGGCGAAGGCGGCCAACUGGACCAUUACUGACGCUGAGGUGCGAAAGCGUGGGGAGCAAACAGG
rnacentral:rRNA from 1 species